GGGGAUGUAGCUCAGUGGUUAAGCACUUGCUUCGUAUGUAUGAGGCCUUUGAUUCAAUUCCUAGUACCUCCC
rnacentral:tRNA from 1 species